rnacentral:rRNA from 1 species
AUUGAACGCUGGCGGCAGGCCUAACACAUGCAAGUCGAGCGAGCGGCGGACGGGUGAGUAAUGUCUGUGGAACUGCCUGAUGGAGAGGGAUAACUACUCGAAACGGUAGCUAAUACCGCAUACCAUCUGAUGUGCCCAGAGUUGAUUAGCGAGUAGGUGGGGUAACGGCUCAUCCAGGCGACGAUCCCUAGCGGGUCUGAGAGGAUGACCAGCCACACUGGAACUGAGACACGGUCCAGACUCCUACGGGAGGCAGCAGUGGGGAAUAUUGCACAAUGGGCGCAAGCCUGAUGCAGCCAUGCCGCGUGUGUGAAGAAGGCCUUCGGGUUGUAAAGCACUUUCAGCGGGGAGGCGUUACCCGCAGAAGAAGCACCGGCUAACUCCGUGCCAGCAGCCGCGGUAAUUC